GCUCCGGGAAUGAAGUUCUCCCUUGGGUAACCUAAACCGCUUUUGUAAGCUGAUGACUUCUGCGAU
rnacentral:ncRNA from 1 species